rnacentral:misc_RNA from 1 species
UUAAGUUCAGCGGGUAGUCCUACCUGAUUUGAGGUCAAACAUAAAGAAGGAAGACGUUGCCGUCGACGCGUUGGAGGCACGAGACCUUUCCGUCGUGCGCUUCGGAAGACGGCGAUCAUUAUCACGCCGAAAGCCUUGUCGCGCAAAGUCGAAAGUCGAUCGCAAGCCGAUGCAUUUCAGGAGAGCCCGAGUCCUGCUGG